GGGGUGUGGAGCGGGGGAGGGCAGUGCUGGAGGCAGCCCUUUCCGGCAGCAGAGCCCAGGCUGGCUGGUUGCGGGCCAGAGGCAAGGAGGGAAGGCUGAGGACGUGCUUCCUGAGUCCUGCCUGGCUCUGCUUGGCCAGCUGGGGUGGCCCCUGUCCUCGGAGCUCCUUAACCCAGAGAAACUUCAAUUUCUGCCCUCAAGAUCCUUCACUUUCUGCUGGAACAAUCCAUCAUCUAGGCGAAGGGUCUUCCUUGUCUUCUGGAAUGAACACCCGGUGGAUUGGAUCAUGUCAUCGGUUCCUGGUUCAGAGAGCCUUUCAGAGCUUGCUAACAACCCAAGUCCUGCUCUCCCCUUGCUGGUCGUCACACGAGCUCCACCCCGCUGGUCACCAGGCACUUCACGGAGGAGCUUAGGCUGUGCAGACAGAAAGCCUUGGUCUGUGAAGGAACUGGGGGAUGGUGGUCCCCAGCCCUCCUUCCUGCAAUGCCAUCCUUGCAAACAUCGUGCUUCUCAAUUCUAGUUUUGUGGCUUUUUGUCCCCACAACACUGUCUCUCAAGCUGUAUUUCCACUCCAGUGUACUCAUCCAGUUAUUCACUGAGCACCUAGUCAAUGCCAGGCCGUGCACUGUGUGCGGGCAGAAGUACCAGGUGCUUCCACAGCAGGAGGGGGAGGGGGCUCACCUGGGUAGUCGGGAAGACCUCCCUGAUGUGGACACUUGAGCAGAGACGUGAGGGUGCAGGCCAGGGAGGUCUGAAGGGCACUUCCUGUUCCAGGAUUGGGAACAGCCAUGCAAAGGCCCUGAGGUGGCAGUGUGAGUUAGAGGAAGAGCCUGAGGCCCCCGUGGUUGAGCAGGUGCUCUGAAGUCAUGAUAGCACUUUGGACUGUUUUCUGAGAUAGGUGGGAGCCAGCCUGAGAGGAGUGUGCUGAGGCUCCACCUUGAGAUGUGGGAGCUGGGCCCAGAGAGGGAAGGCAGGGAGUUCAAGGUAGCAGAGUCAGCAUGACCUCCCCAGCCAGCUUCACCGGCUGCUCUGGCUGCUCUCUUUGCACA
rnacentral:lncRNA from 1 species